UGGUACUCUACUCAUGUGCACAUUAGUCAGAAUUUCUUAGCCGUAUUAUUUGGACCUUCUUACAUAUUUAUCGCGGCUAAAAAAGAAGAAACUUAAAUUAACGUGUGCUGAAAAGCUAGAAAAAUAAUGUGUGAUUAUUACAAUAUUCCAAGAAACAGGGCCACAAAGGUCGGAAUUAUAAAUGUCGUACGGUGGUUGCCAUGAGUUUGUCAAUUUUGCUGGCAGUUGAAAAACUAAUCCUAAUGGAAGAAGUACAAGAAAAACAAGAAGAAUCUCCUACAAUACAAAGUAAAAAGGCACGCUCAUUUUGUACGGGAUUUGGAAUUGCAAUAAUUAUGCUGUCGCUUGCCUCUGGAAUCUUUACACUUCUGUCAUGUAAAAGCGUUGACAACGAGAAGAGACGCACUAAAUUCGGAUAUAUGGCAAUAUCUUUCAUAAUUUUGUCGACAAUGAUAUCUGGUGGACUUAGGGCUUCCCACAAGACGGGACAGUCUUGUCUUGUCUUGACAAGACGGGAUAACAAGACGGGACAAGACGGAAAUUUGCGUCCCGCAUUUUGGCAAGCAAGACGGGACACGGGACGGGACAAACAACGUCUUGUCCUGUCUUGUCUCGGCAAGACGGGACGUCUUGCGACAAUUUAAAUAUGAUACUUUCGUCUCGGAAUUCAUUAAAAUUGAAUUUGAAGCUUAGCACAACGGUGGCAUUUGUUCAGUAAAAUAUAACUUGAGUGAAAUUGUAAUUCCCUUAAAUUGAAAAUUCGGUCGAAACGAAUCAUCGAAUAUUUUUUGGAUAGCGUUAUCUAAUCCGUUAUCAUGUAAUAUAAAUCUGUAGAAUUUAGAAGUAAAAAUUUUGUGUACAAUACGAACAUGAAGUCAAGUCUUGAGAACAUAAAUUUCCAAACAAGCAGUUUUCGAUCAAACCAAAACAGAGAUUUUCCGUUUUAGGGAUAGCAAAUGUCUUUUUUCCACUCCCCUGUGGAAUGUGAUUUUUACCAGUCGAAACCUUGGUUAAAUUAUUCUGUAAUUAGUUAGAACAAUUUGUAUCAUGAAGCGAACUUGAAUUUUGUGAAUGGAUUUAAAAUUCAACCCAUUUAAAACAUGUGCGUCCCGUGUUGUCCCGUCUUGAACGGGACGGGCAAGACGGGACGCAAGACAAGACGGGACAGCUUGUCGUCCCUUCUUGUCUUGAUAUUUCGUCCCGCAGACUGGAACAAGACGAGACAAGACGUAUAAUCUUGUCUUGUCCCGUCUUGUGGGAAGCCCUAGGUGGACUAAUCUUGACACUAUUCACCACUACCCUGAGCAUGACGGACAGUUCAUCAAUCGCCAGCUAUUCUUAUCUGACGCUGGCAAUAUGGGGAUCCAUAAUUCAAAUAGUAUUUAUGUAUUUAGUCCUCGAAUAUUUGGAUAAACCGUCCCUUCAUCAUACUGAAGAGAUUUGUUAUCCGCUGCAGCGGGUGAAAAGUACUACUAAUUACGGCAAACAUCGCAAGACUUAUGCAGAGUGUCGGGAAUUAUGUUGCAAUUGUUGCUGCACAAUAUUGAUGUUGCCAAUUGAAAAUUAGUUUUAAUUCAAUAUUUUAUUAUGUAUAUACAUAUGUACAUGCAUGUAUGAGUACGGCAAGGAAAGUUGAUCUCAUAGGACCAACGAGAAACCAGAGACCAGACAUAAAUAUUCCUGCAUUUCCAAAUAAGUAUGCAAAGAAAAAAAUCAAGUCGAUACAACAAUUGUUUGCAAAAUGUAAGAGGUGUGUUAGUAGUAUGAUAACCCUUUAUUCAUAAGCAUUACACCAGGAAACUAGUCGAUUAACAAGAUCAAUACUUUUAGAUGUAUCGUUGUAGAUGACCCUUCAAUUCCACUGAAUUGGAGAUGAUUUCACGUUUUUCCAUAGAUUAUUGGGUUGACUAUUGAUCAAGGUAGGGGAAUGUGAAAAGAGUUGCGUGUGACAAUUUUCGUCCAGAAAUGUAGCAUUUAAACGUUAUCACAAUGUGACGAAUUCGACGAGCUGUGUCUGGACUCCAGAGAGAUAUUGACCUAUCUAUAACUACGGUAGGUAGUUCUAUAUCAAUAUGUAGAUGCAUAUAUACAUACAUAUGCAGUUCCGACUUCUUUGCUCGAUUUUUGUCUGCUGAGUGUCUUUGUAUAUAUGUAUAUGCACAAAUAUAUGUAGACAGUCGGUCAGACAGUCAAUAUUUAAAUAAACAUGUUUAUUCACGUAUUCACCAACCUCCAGCUAAAAUCGAAUCGGACAAAAUGAAACAAAUUAACUAAUCUACACAUUUAUGUACAUGUCUCUAUGAAAUAAAACAUUGAUCUUGCC